rnacentral:rRNA from 1 species
GACGACGCUGGCGGCGUGCCUAAUACAUGCAAGUAGGACGAGUUGCGAACGGGUGAGUAAUGUCUGGGAAACUGCCUGAUGGAGGGGGAUAACUACUGGAAACGGUAGCUAAUACCGCAUACCAUCGGAUGUGCCCAGAUGGGAUUAGCUAGUAGGUGGGGUAAAGGUUCACCUAGGCGUCGAUCCCUAGCUGGUCUGAGAGGGUGACCAGCCACACUGGAACUUAGAGACGGUCCAGACACCUGCGAGAGGCAGCAGUGGGGAAUAUUGCACAAUGGGCGCAAGCCUGAUGCAGACAUGCCGCUGGUAUGAAGAAGGCCUUCGGGUUGUAAAGUACUUUCAGCGGGGAGGCGUUACCCGCAGAAGAAGCACCGGCUAACUCCGGGCCAGCAGCCGCGGUAAUAC